CAGCUCCGCUUUCCCUCCCAGAGCACACUGAGGGCCAGAUUGUGGCAUUUAGCUAUUGGUUCACCCUGAGAAUGGUAUGAAGACAUAUCACCCCAUGGGGUUCACUGGAAGGACUGUGCCACAGUCCAGAGACUUCCCAGUAUGUGGAGUAGGGAGGGGGUGGAACAUUAUAACAUUCCGCUUGAGACGGUCCUCCGUUCUCCUUUUGGGGGGAUUUGAAUCCAUAAGGACAGACAGAAACUGCAGUUCCUGUGUGUCCUGGAAUGCAGAGACUGAGGUUAUUCACAUCCUGUGUGCAGCUUUUCACAUCCUGCCUGGCAUGGCUUCUCACUCUGUUUUCAACAUCAGUUCCUGUGAUGAGAUGAAUGUGUUCCACACCCAGAUGGGCAGAAGAGGAAUUACGCUUGUUCACUGGAUGAAUGGAAGAGAAUCUGCUCCACCAAAGAAAUGUUGAGGUAGCUGCCAAAGUUGCAGCCAUGAUGUGUCCUAGUGGAAUCAAAGACUCAGAGGUAAAUCCAUAUAAAUCCAGAAGUAAAUCCACUGCUCCACAAAUAACAUCCCAGGAAAUAAAACCUCAAGAAAUGAGGCUGCAGUAUUUAAAAUACUGCUUGCUGGUCUCUCUGAAGUACCAGGAGCUGACAUGUAGCUUAUUUUUCUCUUUUCCUUA